AUUUCACCUAUGAGUUCCAGAAAUUACCCAGGGGGUCCCACUUAAAUCAGGCCUAAUCAUGUUAACAUGACAAAAAAUUGCCCCUAUCUCUAUCACAUACCAAAUUGCAUCUUCCAUAAACCCCACACUCAUACUAUUUAUAGUAACCCUAUCAAUUAUACUAGGAGGCUGGGGAGGACUUAACCAAACUCAACUACGAAAGAUAGCUCAUAUAGGAUGAAUAAUAGCAAUUAUUACAUAUAAUCCAACCCUGACAAUAUUUAACCUAAUCAUCUAUAUCAUACUUACUAUUAACAUAUUUAUGCUCCUUCUUUAUUAUAAAAAAACUACUACCCUCUCCCUAUCAAACCUAUGAAAUAAAUUUNAUCAUUUAUACUUACUAUUGCCCUUUCAAUAAAGAUAGGACUCGCCCCAUUUCACCUAUGAGUUCCAGAAAUUACCCAGGGAAUCCCACUUAAAUCAGGCCUAAUCAUAUUAACAUGACAAAAAAUUGCCCCAAUCUCUAUUGCAUACCAAAUUGCAUCUUCCAUAAACUCCACACUCAUACUAUUUAUAGGAACCUUAUCAAUCAUACUAGGAGGCUGAGGAGGACUUAACCAAACCCAACUAUGAAAGAUCCUAGCAUAUUCAUCAAUCGCCCAUAUAGGAUGAAUAAUAGCAAUUAUUACAUAAAAUCCAACCCUAACAAUAUUUAACCUAAUCAUCUAUAUCAUACUUACUAUUAACAUAUUUAUGCUUCUCCUUUAUUAUAAAAAAACUACUACCCUCUCCCUAUCAAAUUUAUGAAAUAAAUUUCCUCUUCUAACACCUACAGUUUUAAUUGUAUUAAUAUCAUUAGGAGGUUUACCUCCCCUAACAGGAUUUACACCAAAAUGAAUUAUUCUUAAAGAACUUAUUUCAAAUAACAACAUUAUUUUCUCUACACUUAUAGCAAUACUAGCACUCCUAAACCUAUAUUUCUAUACUCGACUAAUCUAUUCAACAUCCCUAACCCUAUUUCCAUCAUUUAACAACACCAAAAUAAAAUGACAAUUCGAAGGUGUAAAACUCACACCUCUUUUACCAAUCUUUAUCAUUAUUUCUAUCCUCUCUCUCCCAUUAAUACCCAUACUCUCACUCCUGAACUAGGAAUUUAGGUUAAUUUAGACCAAGGACCUUCAAAGUCCUAAGCAAGUACCCAACACUUAAUUCCUGCACUAAGGACUGCAAGAUUUUAUCUUACAUCAAAUUAAAGCAUAUUUGGAGUUGGAGGCUCAGCCAGAUCAUAAGAUUGCAUAGACAGCUAGACUUACAUCAACUGAAUGCAAAUCAAUCACUUUAAUUAAGCUAAGCCCUUCAUUUCUAGAUUGAUGGGAUUUAAACCCAUAAAAUCUUAGUUAACAGCUAAAUGCCUUACUCAACUGGCUUAUGAUCAAAUCUACAAUGUUAUUGUUACCGCCCAUGCAUUUGUUAUAAUUUUCUUCAUAGUUAUGCCGAUCAUAAUUGGUGGAUUUGGGAACUGACUAGUACCCCUAAUAAUCGGAGCUCCUGAUAUAGCAUUUCCACGUAUAAAUAACAUAAGCUUCUGACUUCUCCCCCCUUCCUUCCU
rnacentral:lncRNA from 1 species